rnacentral:rRNA from 1 species
ACAUUAGGGCCUACCACCCUGAAUCCACCAGGUCUCAUCUGCUCUCUGAAGCUAAGCAGGGGCAGGCCUGAUUAGUACUUGGAUGGGAGACCACUUGGGAAUACCAGGUUCUGUAUUUA